rnacentral:rRNA from 1 species
UACGUAGGGGGCAAGCGUUGUCCGGAUUUACUGGGCGUAAAGCGCGCGUAGGCGGUUACUCAAGUCGGAUGUGAAAGCCCUCGGCUUAACUGAGGAAGUGCACCCGAAACUGAGUAGCUAGAGUACUAAAGAGGGUCGCGGAAUUCCCGGUGUAGAGGUGAAAUUCGUAGAUAUCAGGAGGAACACCGGUGGCGAAGGCGGGUCUCUGGGCCGAUACUGACGCUGAGGAGCGAAAGCGUGGGGAGCAAACAGG